UACGUAGGGACCAAGCGUUGUUCGGAUUUACUGGGCGUAAAGCGUGCGCAGGCGGCUCCUUAAGUCAGAUGUGAAAGCCCCGGGCUUAACCUGGGAACUGCGUUUGAAACUGGGGAGCUGGAGUGUAGAAGAGGGGGGUGGAAUUCCAGGUGUAGCAGUGAAAUGCGUAGAUAUCUGGAGGAACACCGAUGGCGAAGGCAGCCCCCUGGGCUAACACUGACGCUCAUGCACGAAAGCGUGGGGAGCAAACAGG
rnacentral:rRNA from 1 species